GGGUGGUAAUGCCGGAUGCUCCAGUUGAUCGCAUGGUCUUCUGGGAAASSUUUCGCGGUAUGGGAUGGGGUCGCGUCCUAUCAGCUUGACGGCGGGGUAACGGCCCACCGUGGCUUCGACGGGUAGCCGGCCUGAGAGGGCGACCGGCCACAUUGGGACUGAGAUACGGCCCAGACUCCUACGGGAGGCAGCAGUGGGGAAUAUUGCACAAUGGGCGCAMGCCUGAUGCAGCGACGCCGCGUGAGGGAUGGAGGCCUUCGGGUUGUAAACCUCUUUUAUCGGGGAGCAAGCGAGAGUGAGUUUACCCGUUGAAUAAGCACCGGCUAACUACGUGCCAGCAGCCGCGGUAAUACGUAGGGUGCAAGCGUUAUCCGGAAUUAUUGGGCGUAAAGGGCUCGUAGGCGGUUCGUCGCGUCCGGUGUGAAAGUCCAUCGCUUAACGGUGGAUCCGCGCCGGGUACGGGCGGGCUUGAGUGCGGUAGGGGAGACUGGAAUUCCCGGUGUAACGGUGGAAU
rnacentral:rRNA from 1 species